rnacentral:lncRNA from 13 species
AUGCUCUUGGCUCAUGGAAACCUCUGCCUCCCACGUUCAAGUGAUUCUCAUGCUUCAGCCUCCCCAGUAGCUGGGAUAACAGAGCUGACAAGCAUAGCAGGACAGCCAUCCCCUGAGAGAUAGGAGAGGAGGAGAAACAGCUCAGCAGGGGCCUGGAGCAGCUGGCUGGCGUCAGUAAUUUCCUGCAGGAGACUCUGCCGGCCGAGGACACGUCACCCUUCUGUUGCUCCUCUGUGUUCUCCCUUGUGCUACUAAAAUAAGCUAAUGUAACUCUUGGGCUGUGCUAAGCUAAAUGCAGUUAUUUAACCUCAUCUCUAUGGAACCCAGGUCUAAAGCAGCAGCAUCUAUUUGGA